UAGUUGGUGAGGUAACGGCUCACCAAGACCGCGAUGGGUAGCUGGUCUGAGAGGAUGAUCAGCCACACGGGCACUGAGACACGGGCCCGACUCCUACGGGAGGCAGCAGUAAGGAAUAUUGGUCAAUGGGGGCAACCCUGAACCAGCCAUGCCGCGUGGAGGAAGACGGCCCUCUGGGUUGUAAACUUCUUUUAUGUAGGGAUAAUUGUGUGCUAUACGCACGCUUGUAGGUACUACAUGAAUAAGCACCGGCUAACUACGUGCCAGCAGCCGCGGUAAUACGUAGGGUGCAAGCGUUGUCCGGAUUUAUUGGGUUUAAAGGGUGCGCAGGCGGUCUAUUAAGUUAGUGGUGAAAUCGUACGGCUUAACCGUAUACCCGCCAUUGAUACUGGUAGACUUGAGUAUAUCAGAGGAAGUUGGAAUGCGUAGUGUAGCGGUGAAAUGCAUAGAUAUUACGCAGAACACCGAUUGCGAAGGCAGAUUUCUAUGAUAUUACUGACGCUCAGGCACGAAAGCGUGGGUAGCGAACAGGAUUAGAUACCCUGGUAGUCCACGCCGUAAACGAUGAUCACUAAAUGUUCGGCCUUCGGGCUGAGUGUUCAAGCGAAAGCGAUAAGUGAUCCACCUGGGGAGUACGUUCGCAAGAAUGAAACUCAAAGGAAUUGACGGGGGCCCGCACAAGCGGUGGAGCAUGUGGUUUAAAUUCGAUGAUACGCGAGGAACCUUACCUGGGCUACAAUGCCUCUGCUAUUCCCCGAAAGGGGAAGUUCCUUCGGGACAGAGUGCAAGGUGCUGCAUGGUUGUCGUCAGCUCGUGCCGUGAGGUGUUGGGUUAAGUCUCGCAACGAGCGCAACCCCUAUCGUUAGUUGCCAUCAGGUUAAGCUGGGGACUCUAACGAGACUGCCUCCGCAAGGAGUGAGGAAGGCGGGGAUGACGUCAAAUCAUCAUGGCCCUUACGCCCAGGGCGACACACGUGCUACAAUGGACGGUACAGCGGGUAGCGACUUUGCGAAAAGAAGCCAAUCCCUAAAAGCCGUUCUCAGUUCGGAUCGGAGUCUGCAACUCGACUCCGUGAAGUCGGAAUCGCUAGUAAUCGCAGAUCAGCCAUGCUGCGGUGAAUACGUUCCCGGGCCUUGUACACACCGCCCGUCAAGCCAUGGAAGCUGGGGGUACCUGAAGUCGGCCUAUAAGCCGCCUAGGGUGAAACUAGUAACUGGGGCU
rnacentral:rRNA from 1 species